UACGUAGGGAGCAAGCGUUGUCCGGAUUCACUGGGUGUAAAGGGUGCGUAGGCGGGAGAAUAAGUCAGCGGUGAAAUCUUACGGCUCAACCGUGAAACUGCCGUUGAUACUGUUUUUCUUGAGUUCGGGAGAGGUUGAUGGAAUUCCAGGUGUAGCGGUGAAAUGCGUAGAUAUCUGGAAGAACACCAGUGGCGAAGGCGGUCAACUGGCCCGAUACUGACGCUGAGGAGCGAAAGCGUGGGGAGCGAACAGG
rnacentral:rRNA from 1 species